CGGGCGGUUCGCCGCCCGUGACUCUGCGAGAAGUCCAUUGGAACCUUAUCAUUUAGAGGAAGGAGAAGUCGUAACAAGGUUUCCGUAGGUGAACCUGCGGAAGGAUCAUUGUCGAGACCGAAAUACAUCGAGCGAUUCGGAGAACCUGUGAACGAGCGGUGGCACUCGCCGCCGCGUAACAGCCGUCCCGGUCGCUGGCCUCGUCGGGGCCACGGCGAGGGGCGGAUGAAAACUCAAACCGGCGCAGCUACGCGCCAAGGGAAUACGGAAGACACGAGCCCGCAUCGGGUUCGAUGGCGUGGAGUGCUGUCGCACACCACAUGGAUCGAAAUGACUCUCGGCAAUGGAUAUCUCGGCUCUCGCAUCGAUGAAGAGCGCAGCGAAAUGCGAUACGUGGUGCGAAUUGCAGAAUCCCGCGAACCAUCGAGAAUUUGAACGCAAGUUGCGCCCGAGGCCAGCUGGCCAAGGGCACGUCCGCCUGGGCGUCAAGCGUUGCGUCGCUCCGUGCCAGCUCCAUCCCACCCGAAGGGUUUGCGUGCAGAUUGGUCGGAUGUGCAGAGUGGCUCGUCGUGCCCACGGGCGCGGCGGGCUGAAGAGCGGGUGAUCGUCUCGUUGGCCACGAACAAUAAGGGGUGGAUGAAAAUUGUGCCUGUGUUGUAUCGUGCCGGCCCGAGAAGAGAUCCUGCCCUUAUGAUGAUCCCAGCCCAAGCGUUGAUCCGCGGACGGCGGCUUGGAAUGCGACCCCAGGAUGGGCGAGGCCACCCG
rnacentral:rRNA from 1 species